UAUAUGAGUCUAUUUUCAGGAAAAAUUAACGGCACUUGAUUUGGAGUUUCUUAGCUCUAGUUAUAAAUAAUUUAGUGACUGUUGCUCAGGAAGACAGCUUGUAGUGAAUUUGUGAUUUUGUUGCAAACAUGGUUAAAACUUGUUAAUGAGAUGCUUUUCGAGUUCUUAUGAUCUUAUUUUUGAUUUCAAUAUUUGGUUU
rnacentral:lncRNA from 1 species